AAUGGCCUAAGCCAUUUUUGUUUGGCUUGCUGAUAUUUGUAUGCCUUUAAAUUUCUUUUGCACUGCUGAUGUGGGACUUGUUCUCACGAGUGAUACCCCAAUAGAAUCUAUCAAUAAUUAUUAUAUAUUGGGAAUCUUGUUGAAUUAUUCAUGAUUCCAAACAAUGAAACUCACAAGUUGCGGAUUUGUAUAAUAUUUCAUUUACAACCAAAUGCAAUAAUGAUAUAGUCUUGAGAAAUGCCUGGUUGGAUGUGUGAGUGUGUAGUGUGAUUUGUUUCUUGAUCAUCAUUUAUCUGGCUAUCUGUGUCUGGCUAAUUUUUCUGAUUGUGUUUAAUGUGAAUUUCUGCUGCUAGAUUAUGAUGAGAAGGCUGAAGA
rnacentral:misc_RNA from 1 species